rnacentral:lncRNA from 1 species
UUGUCUCAAAGCCUUGGCCCUUCUUUUUCACCGCCGUCGAUGUCUCCUGGGUGCGGUGGUUGGACGUUCGCCGGCGUUCUCCUUUCCCUCCUCUCUUCUUCUUCUUUCUUCACUUCUUUCUACUUUACUUUUUGUUUUUGCUUGCUUGCUGCUAUUUUCCUUUCUUUUGUUUAUGCUUGCACAUUUCUUAGCUUGACUUCGGCGAGGAGCAACGAUGAUCGUUGCACGGCGAUCGUGGUGGCGUGGGUACGGUGGCGGUGAGCGUGGGAUCGGCCCAUGGGAGUAUUUUUUGCUGCUGGAAUUUUCUGCUAUUUUUUUUGCUUUGGUUGCCGAAAAUCCUCCUCCCUUCUCUUCAAUUUUUUCUUUUUAAAAGCUCCAAAUUUUGUCCUCUUUCUCAUUGUUUGCAGGUGGCAGAGGAGCCAUGAUGGCCUAGGGGGGCUGCUGGAGUAGCUCGGCUGGGAGGGGUACGCUCGGCUGGUGCAGCGGCGAUUAGACAAGUCCAGAAGGACUAAAUUGCAUAGGAUGCAAAGCUUCUGGGGCAAAAGUGUAAUUUUAGCAAAAAUAUGGGCCAAAAUGUAAUUUCUUGAGAGUUUAGGGGUCAAAGUGAAUUUUUGAGAAAGUCUAAGGGUCAAAAUGUAAUUUUAGAAAGUUUUGGGUCAAAAUGUAAAUUUUAGAAAAGUUUAGGGUUAAAAUGUAAAUUUUGAAAAGUACAGGGGUUAAAUGAAAAAAUAAAAAAUUCUUUUUUUUUCAAACACGAAAUUAAUCUCGGACAAAAUUCAGUGAUUACAGCUGCCCCUCUUUGCUCAUCGCUAUGAAACAGGGAUAGAGCAAAGACUAAAAAGCACUGAAUUUUGUUCGACCAUCUAAAAUUUUCCUCUUUAUUUGAAAAGCAGAAAUCGAGAACAGCUCGGCGUGCGACCCGAGACUCAACUCACCUCUUGAAUUAUGAGUUGAUCUUCGAAAAACAAAAAUCGAAAAUACCUCGACAUGUGCCCCGAGGCUCAACUCACCUCUCGCAAUAUGAGUUGAUUUUUGAAAAACAUGAAUUGAAAAAUACCUCUGCGUGACCCGAGGCUCAACUCACCUCUCGCAAUAUGAGUUGAUUUUUUGAAAAACAUAAAUUUAAAAGAAAUACCUCGGCAUGGUCCAAGGCUCAACUCACCUCUCGCAAUAUGAGUUGAUUUUUUUGAAAAACAUAAAUUNNNNNNNNNNNNNNNNNNNNNNNNNNNNNNNNNNNNNNNNNNNNNNNNNNNNNNNNNNNNNNNNNNNNNNNNNNNNNNNNNNNNNNNNNNNNNNNNNNNNUGAAGUAAACAAAAUUAAAAAAAAUACCUCAGCGUGACCCGAGGCUCAACUCACCUCUGUAUUAUGAGUUGAUUUCUUGCAAAAAACAGAAUUUUAAAAAUAUUUCUUGAAAGAAACAAGGUUUCAAAAAACAUCAGGUGAAACUAAAAGCCUUCAUCUUCACUGAUUCUGUGCAGCUUUCUCCUAGUAUUCCUUGCUCUACCGGUAUACCUGUAUACGUCAUGUAUGAUGUUAUUACGAUAUGCACAUGUUUGUCCUAAAUGCUUUUGUGUCUACAUGAUCAUGCAAUGCACCGUAGGCUAUUUGUCACGUGCCCCACUUUUGAUUUUUGUGAGGGUCCGCAUUCAUUUCCUCAAUUCUUGACUUUUCUCUCUAAUUUUGUACUCAUCCUCAAGUUCUGUGAGUAAUCUACAUUUCUUCGUAUAUCGCUCUCUUGCCCCCUGCUGAACAUUGUUCCUACUUUGGGGCCCUUAUAUUUAUCAAAUUCUCAUCCAGGUAAUGCUCAACAUUCCUUUUGUUUAGAGUAUGUCAUCUUACUAUUUAUCAUUUAAAUGAAUCAAACACAAGAUGCAUGACAAAAGUGGCAAAGUAGGCAUGAAAGAAAUACCUCACAUUCAUUUUUUAAAGCAACGAAAGAAAUUGACAAGGAAAGUUCAACAAAUAAAUUGUCAUAAAGAAAAGAAAGCGAAUUCAAUGGCCAGAAAUGCUCUAGAUAUCCAAUGCAUGAACUUUCCACGUUUCUUCAUCCUGGAUCUUUUCGAGCACGGCUUCUUGUGUAGAAGAUUUUGAGCUUCUGAGAAUGCUUCAAAUAUUGUAACCUUGCCAUUCGACUCCCUGUUCAAGUCGCCUUGCUCCUUAAGUCCGAGCCCACUUUGUUAGGACGCCCUUUUGGGUUUUCAUCCUAAUCUUUUUUGUUUAUCAAGACGCCCUUUUUGGGUUUUCAUCUUGAUUUUUCUUUUUCUUUUCUUUGUUUUUUUUGUUUUUAUUUUUGUUUUUGUUUUUUUAUUUUUUUUGUCCCUUUUUUUAAGCAUAAUAUUUCUUCACAGCAUCUGAGUUCACUGGAUUAGGUAAUUCUUUCCCAUCCAUUUCAGUAAGAAUCAGAGCCCCUCUUGAGAAUGCCUUUUUUACAACGUAUGGUCCUUCCCAAUUUGGUGACCAUUUUCCUUGAAAGUCCUUUUGUAUCAGGAGGAUCUUUCUUAAAACGAGUUCCCCUUCGCGAAAUUCUCUUGGUCGCACAUUAUUAUCAUGGGCCGUGAUCAUUCUCUCCUGGUACAUCUGUCCAUGACAAAUUGCCUUCAAGCAUUUCCCUUCAAUAAGGUUUAGCUGGUCAUAUCGAACUCGAACCCAUUUCGAUUCUUCUAAUUUUGUCUCCAUCAUGACUCACAAGGAUGAGAUCUCUACUUCAAUAGGCAAAACGGCUUCCAUUCCGUAGACUAAUGAGAAAGGACUUGCUCUCGUAGAUGUCCGCACGGAGGUGCGGUACGCAUACAAAGCUAAUGGUAGCUUCUCGUGCCAAUCUUUAUAUGUCUCACUCAUCUUUCCGAGAAUCCUCUUAAUGUUUUUGUUGGCCGCUUCAACAGCUCCGUUCAUUUUCGGGCGAUAGUGUGAGGAAUUAUGAUGUUUUAUCUUGAAUUGCUCGCACAUUUCUUUCAUCAUUUUGUUGUUCAAAUUUAAAGCAUUAUCUGAGAUGAUUCUUUCAGGCAGACUAUGUCGACAUAUGAUUUCCUUUUUUAAGAACCUACAGACCGUAGCCUUCGUCAUAUUAGCAAACGAAGUGGCUUCUACCCAUUUUGUGAAGUAGUCUAUAACCACAAAGAUGAAUCGAUGUCCAUUGGAAGCUUUCGGGGAAAUCGGCCCUAUAACAUCCAUGCCCCACAUAGAAAAGGGCCACGGAGAAGUCAUGACAUAAAGGGGCGAUGGAGCUGCAUGAAUUUUAUCGCCAUAAAUUUGACACUUAUGACACUUUCGUGCGUAGCCAAUGCAAUCCCUUUCCAUCGUCAACCAAUAAUAACCAAGUCUCAUAAUCUGUCUAGCCAUGGUGAAACCACUAGCAUGCGUUCCACAAAUUCCCUCCUGAACCUCCUCAAGUAUCUUUCUAGCUUCAACAGUGUCCACACAUCUCAUGAGCACUUGAUCUUUCCCUCUUUUGUAUAGAAUAUCCCCGUCAAGAACAAAUCCAAUCGCCAUUCUUCUGAUUGUUCUUUUAUCAUUCUCGUUUGCUUGCUCGGGGUACCUUUGAUUCUUGAUGUACUCUAGGAUAUCAUGGAACCAUGGUCGUCCAUCGGACUUAUUCUCAUACUCAUGCUCGAGAUAUCGCGCUCCCCUUUACUGACUCUUGGCUCUCAUAUACAAUGUCAUACUCAGACAAUAGGAUCUGCCAUCGUGCCAUUCUCCCUCAUAUUCUGUGAACUUUUUACUGAGGCAGUAAAUUAUCUUUUCUCUUUUUCCUGACUCAUCAUGUUGCCCCAGCAUUCUUCAAUUCAAAUGGCAUCACUUUGUAGCAGAACGUUUCCCAUAUUGUGACGAAUGUGGUUUUCUCCAUAUAUUCGGAAGCCAUCUUUAUCUGAUUAUAACCUGAGAAACUAUCCAUGAAAGAAAAUGAAUAAUGUUUUGUCGUGUUAUCCUGGCAUGUCUUGAUACGACCAAACAAAUAUAUCUUUGUACUCACGGAGCAAGGCGAUUAAAUUCUGUUUGGUGUUCUCCGAAACGGAAGUCCUAAUCUUCAGUUCUUGUUUCUUUUCUUCACUCCCUAAGUUCACUGUCUCAACAGAUUCUUGAUGAGGUAAAAUCUGUUUCUCUUCUUGUUCAACUAUUCUCUGUAAGUCAGGAGGCAGGUCACAAUUUUCAGCAUCUUCCUUGGCUUCGAAUUCUCCUAAACAAAUAGCCUUCUUGAAAUUAAUUUCAGGAUUUGUAACGGGAUUAUUCCUGCCAUAGAUAUCUGAGCACCUAAAAGAUGGGUAGAAAAGACAGCUAUAGAGGAGUAUCAAAGUAUUAGAAUCAACACUCAAUGAUAUGAUAUGGUAUGAAAUACAUAUAGGAGAAUGAUGUGAAGAGAAGUGAUAGUUACGAGACUAGUAGAAAUAAAAAGACCAUGACAAAAUGCAUCUUCAUCGAUGUUCAUUGAAAUGAUAAAGAGCAAGCAUAUGCUCUUACAAAAGGAAUCCCACUAUCUAGGGAUAUACAAAAUAAUGGAGAAUUAUCAUUGAGCAUUACUCUAGAGGGGAAUCAAAAACUACAAGGAGGUCCACAGAAGUCUAAUUGUUCAAAACAUAUCCUGGAGGACAAUGGCGUAUCAUUGAAACAUCCCCAAUUGCAUCACCCUCGUUGUCAACAACAUUUAUGCUGAUGUUCUAAAAUCCCUUUUCAUUUAAGGCGCUUCGCAGAUUGUUUUGCCCCUCAUCUUCAUUCGUUACCGAAUUCACAUUCCCAUCAGCAUGGUUAGGAAAAGGGCUUCCAGCCUCAUUACUAACACUAUCAAAUCGUAAAAUGCCCGCAUUGAUAAGAUCUUGAACCCUCCUUUUAAAGGCAAGGCAAUUUUCUGUAGAAUGCCCCUGAUUUCCAGCGUGAUACAUGCAACUAGCAUUAGGAUCAUACCAUUUUGGGUAUGGAGGCUUCAGGGGUGCCAUGUAAUGUGGUGAUAUUAAUUGAUUCUCUAAUAGUUUCGGGUAUAAUUCUCUAUAUGACACAGGAAUUGGGGUGAACUGAGGUCUCUCAGGAUUAGAUCUUGCUGGUCUUGCUCAUUUUUGGGUUGGCUUUGUGUGGGCAUGGUAUUUGGUGGGAACAUGGUGAACGGUCUUUGGUUGUUCAUGGCAUAAACGGGGUAAAGAGGAGGUGUUUGACAAUAAGGACUUUGGGAGGGAAAGUAGAAGUUUGAAGGCGGGCGAUAACGAGUUCGUGGUUGGGCUGGAUGCGGAUUGGAGGUAUAGUGGCUCUCAGUUCCGACCAUAUGGGUUUCUGCCUCUUUAUUCCUUACAGGUACUGUCUUUUUUGAACUUUCAGGGCCUUCCAUCCUCCCAUUCUUGAUGGCGUUUUCUAUAAGCUCCCCAGAUAUUACAAUGUCCUUUGUGGCACUUCCUACCAACUUAUCGUAAAAUGACACUUUCAGAGUAUUAAUGAAGAGGACCGUUAUCUCCGUCUUAGUUAACGGGGGUUCCACCUGAGCUGAGAUAUCCCUCCAUCUUUGUGCGUAUUGUCUAAAGGUCUCUGUCGGCUUUUUUUCCAUCAUUUGCAAAGUUAGUCGAUCAGGCACCAUAUCUGAUACAUGCUUGUAUUGCUCACAGAAUGCUGAUGCUAAGUCCUUCCAUGAUCGGAUCCUCUCUCUGCUGAGCUGAUUAUACCAUCGAAGAGCCGAUCCAACUAAACUGUCCUGAAAACAGUGUAUCAGCAAUUUAUCCUCAUUCACGUAAUCAGUCAUCUUCCGACAAAACAUGACGAGAUGCGCCUUUGGACAUCGCGUCCCAUCAUACUUUUCAAAAUCUGGUGCCUUGAAUUUUGAGGGUAGAACCAGAUCGGGCACCAGACUGAGUUCUUUAGCACUCAAAGCAGAGAAGACUUCAGCACCUUCUAUUGCCUUGAGCCUUUCUUCUAAAAUCUGGUAUCUAUCUUGACCGUCAUAAUCAUUAGUUUUCAAUUUUGCUAUUUCCACAGGAUCGUCCAGAUCUGGAACAAAUGGAUAUGCUGGAUUAACCCCGGAGUUCGAUACCAACAUACCUUGCCCCAAAUGAGCAGAUGGUGCAGGACGUUGUUCCAGGAUUGUAUGGGCGUGAGGUGGAGUAAAUCCUGGGGGAUAGAGUGGAUCCUGAUCAUUAUUAGCUCUUGACUAGGGCUCCAUGAUAUCAUGGCUCUGCAUGGGUCCCUUUCCUUUUACUAAAGCUGUCGUCAUUUCCAUCAUUUUAGCCAUUUGGUCUCUUUGCUCGAGUGAUUCUUCUCGAGAUCUCACCAUCAUAUCUGUUGCCUCUUAUUGUGACUUGGCCAAUUGCUCUUGUAACUCUCUUUGGACCCUUUCCAUCCUUUCGAUUUUUUCGUUAAGUUCAGCGUCCAUAGCUCUAGUUCUUAGACGUGUCCUGUAAAGAUGAUGUGAUUCCAGCCUUGUAGUACCGCCACUGUGGAUUAUGCGAUUUUUGCCUCAGUGAAUGGUAAGGGUGAUAUGUACAUGCAAUGCAUGAAUGAAUGAAUGACAAGUGAAUAUUAGUCAUGAAUAAAUAUACAAGUAUUUGGUGUUGAUUUCAAGACAGCCCCAUAUUUUGGCGUUUCAUUAAUCAAAAGAGUCCAUUACAAAAGAUUUGGCCAAUGAAGAUACCCCUAGUGCCUGAGUCUCAUUGUUUCCAAAUCCUAAUCAAGUAUUCGCGGUUAUUCUGACGAUGCUUUUUGGGUCCUCAAAGAUCAGUCUCAGACUAUAACAUUUUCCUCAAUUACUUGCGUAAUUGAUUCCUCCAUCAAAAACCCGUUUUUGGCAACCAAUCUCUAAUCAACACCAUCCUAAUGAGAUGCCUAUGAUGCAUGAUGAAAAAUAAAAUUAAGACAAAUAAACCUAGUUAGCAAUCACGGCAAAUAUAAACAAAGAAAAACUAUGGAAAAUCUAACAAACCGACCUAUUUUUUUUUUGUUUUAUCCCAUCAUGCUUUACAAAAAUAAACUUACCCCAUAUGCUCAUCAAUCUACCCGAUCAAAUUUAUUAAACAGACCAAAUUCCCUUGCAAAAAGUGUAAAUGUGAAAGAAAUAAAAGGUAAGAGGCGUUUCUCCCGUGUAUUUAUUUUGGUGACUAUUCAUCGGACAGAGGUUCGGCAUGACUCUAAUUGGGUGGCUCGUACGGUUCACUAUAUGUGGCUUUGGUUCUAGAGAGGUACUCGAAUUGUCCAUACUGUCACCUACUAAGGUUAGUACGAAGUCUCGGUUAUCGCCCGUCAUGGGCUUGCGAGCUCAAUUCUAGGGAUUACAUUUACUUAUGCCUAUGCGGAGGGACGAGUUAACUCACGAAAACAUAAGUCAUAUGUAACCCGGAAGUAUUUCACUAGCCUGUGCGGAGGGACGAGUUAACUCACGAAGGCGUAGCGUUUACUUCCACUUAAACGGAUGGAGCCCGGGUAGAGAGCUCAUGUUAUGCAAGAAUGCAAGUGCAUGGUGUGUGGGGAGAAACUCACAAACCUUUUUAUUUUUAUUUUUACUAAAAAAACAAACUAAAACCAUAAAACUUAAAGCUGAAAAAAAACACGAAAAUAAAACAGGUUAGAAAAAUAUUAAUUUCAAAACCGGAUGUAGAUGCAUGAUUUUUCAAAACAAAAUUCAAGGAUCACGAUUAAAAAUUAAAUUGAACAAGAAAUUUUAAAAAUUUUGACAACACGCGUUUAACAUCAGACUCGACUCUAAAAAAAAUGUCCCCAGCGGAGUCGCCAGCUGUAGCGAUCUAAAAAUUUGGGUACGAUGGCACGGGCGCUAGUCGAAAUAAUUAUUGAAAAAUUAAAAACGUCUCGAUUUUAUUUGCAAAAGGAGUCGCCACCGAUCUAUUUUAAGUGUGAUCGAACACCUAAUAAAUUCUCUUUUUAGAAGAAAAAUUUAUUUUUAAAUUUUCCUAAAAAAGAGGUAAUUUUAGGUCUGCGUGAAAAUCCAGAGAAAAUUAGGGUUCGGGAGUCGGUUACGCGCGAGGAAGGUAUUAGCACCCUCGCGACGCCCAAAAUUGGUAUCUCGUUAAACGCGCGUUGUCUUAAUUUUCAAAAAUACAAGUUCAAUUUAAUAUUUAAUUGUGAUCCGAUUGAAACUUGAGAAAACCUUUUUUUUUGUUUUUAAACACGAGAACUUUGAAACACAAUAAUAAUUUUUGAAAACACGAAGAUUUUUGAAACACGAAAUUUUUUUGAAAACACGGAUUUUUUUUUGAAAAUAAGGAAAUUUUCGAUACAUGAGAAUUUUUUGACACGAAAAAUUUUGAAAACACGAAAAUUUCGAAAACUUGAAUUUUUUUUUAAACAUGAAUUUUUUUUUAAAAAACACAAGAAUUUUUUGAAAACACGAAAGCAUGAAAAUUUUGAAAACACGGGAAUUUUUUUAAAACACGAAAAUUUUUGAAACAUGAGAAUUUUUUGACACGAAAAUUUCGAAAACAUGAAUUUUUUUUAAAAUACGAAUUUUUUUAAAAACACGAGAAUUUUUUUGAAAACACGAAAACAUGAAAAUUUUGAAAACACAAAAAUUUUUGAAACAUGAGAAUUUUUUGAAAACACGAAAACACGAAAAAAAAUUUAAACACGGGAAUUUUUGAAAACAAGAAAUUUUUUUUUAAAAACACGGAAAUUUUAAAACAUGGAAACUUUAAAAACACGAAAUUUUUUUUUAAAACACAAGAUUUUUAUUUUUUUUAUUUUUUUAAAUACCGUAUUUAACACGAAUCGGUGACAUUCACCCCGUUAUGGCGAUGAAACCAUCGAAUUAGUGUUAACUCAAUUCAAUUUAAUAUUUAAUCGGGAUUCUAAUAAAACACGAGAAUUUUUAUUAAAAUACGAGGAUUUUUGAAUAUUUUUAUUUUUAAAAGGGCGUCCCGAAUUUAACACGAGCUAUCGAUAUCCACCCAACAUAGCAAUGAAUUUGAUGACUCGAUGCUAAAUUGGUUCGUUGCCUUAUGCAUUAAAAUAUUAUUAUUAUUAUUUUUUAAAUAUGCAAUUAAAAUGACAUAAUAAUAUUUAUGAAAACUAUUUUUAAACAUACUAAUUUAAAUUAAAUAAAACACCAUUUAAAUACAUUAAAUAAAAUAAAAUAGAUUAAAAAGAAAAAAAAUUACCCAAAAAGGCCCUUUUCCUUUUUUUCGGUUUGGGCCUCAGUUGGCCCGCUUCACUGCUGCAAUCGGCCCGCUGGAGCUGCUGGGGUAUUGGGCCUGCACUGGGUCAAGUCCAUUGGUGGUGGACUGCUGGUGGCUUACCAAAAAUGGGCUGCUGUUUUUAUUUUUUUAUUACUUUUUUCUCUCUUUUUCUUCCUCUUUUUUUCUUCUUCUCUUCUUCUUGUCUCAAAGCCUUGGCCCUUCUUUUUCACCGCCGUCGGUGUCUCCUGGGUGCGGUGGUUGGACGGUCGCCGGCGUUCUCCUUUCCCUCCUCUCUUCUUCUUCUUUCUUCACUUCUUUCUACUUUACUUUUUUUUUUGCUUGCUUGCUGCUAUUUUCCUUUCUUUUGUUUAUGCUUGCACAUUUCUUAGCUUGACUUCGGCGAGGAGCAACGAUGAUCGUUGCACGGCGAUCGUGGUGGCGUGGGUACGGUGGCGGUGAGCGUGGGAUCGGCCCAUGGGAGUAUUUUUUGCUGCUGGAAUUUUCUGCUAUUUUUUUUGCUUUGGUUGCCGAAAAUCCUCCUCCCUUCUCUUCAAUUUUUUCUUUUUAAAAGCUCCAAAUUUUGUCCUCUUUCUCACUGUUUGCAGGUGGCAGAGGAGCCAUGAUGGCCUAGGGGGGGCUGCUGGAGUAGCUCGGCUGGGAGGGGUACGCUCGGCUGGUGCAGCGGCGAUUAGACAAGUCCAGAAGGACUAAAUUGCAUAGGAUGCAAAGCUUCUGGGGCAAAAGUGUAAUUUUAGCAAAAAUAUGGGCCAAAAUGUAAUUUAUUGAGAGUUUAGGGGUCAAAGUGAAAUUUUGAGAAAGUAUAAGGGUCGAAAUGUAAUUUUAUAAAGUUUUGGGGUUAAAAUGUAAAUUUUAGAAAAGUUUGGGGUCAAAUUGUAAAUUUUGAGAAGUAUAGGGGUUAAAAUGCAAAAAAGUAAUAAAAUUUCUUUUUUUUUUUUCAAGCACGAAAUUAAUCCCGGACAAAAUUCAGUGAUUACAGUCCAUUCACCAACUAUUAGAGGUCUUUUUACCCCUGUCCAUAGGACCUGCUAAGAUAGUCAACAAUUAUUAGUACAAUAAAUAUUUGAUACUAAUAAAUUAUUUUAAUUUAAUUUUACACCAAUUUUAUUUUUUUCUACUGUAUUUUCAUAGUAAUUGUUUUCUAC